UCUAAAGAGUAUUUUGGUCAGUUUUACACCCCAAAACGACCAUCAAACCCAACAGAAGUCAAAUUUAAAAAAUUUGAUGAAAUUGUUUAACCCUUUAACCCCCAAUCCCGCCUGUAGGCGUGAUGGCGACAACCAUUCUUUGAUGGCCCGUAUGACCCUCCAUACCUUUUUUGAACUGCCCAACCUGAACUGUCAUUAGAGCAGGGACUUCAACCAAGCAGUUCAUGGUUCAUACACUCUUCUCAGACGUCUGAUUGUGCAAAUAUGGCACUUUGAAAGCCGUUUAAGAGUUCAAAAUCGGAAAAACGUGAAAAGUAGCCAAAAUCAGGUGGGGUGGGCAUCUUUUGAUGGCCACUACGUAACUGGUAGUCAUUGUAGGUAUAAACUAUUAUCGUAAAUUCAUGCAUAGGUGGUAUAGGAACACAAAGGUACCAUAUGGCCAAUAGGAAACUAGUCUGUAAAAUCUAGGUCACCGUUUUGUAAAAAAUCCGUAAAAACAGACAUUUAGGCAGACCUGACUUAACAAUAAUAAUUCGCUAGCAAGACACUUAAGUCCCAUAAACUCCCAGUUAGCAUGAUUUGACUGCUGUAUCUAUAGGGUAAGAUUUGAAUGACAAAGAAACACAGUCUGGUCAAUGUUCACCUCUCAAGGUCGUUUUAAAAUCGGAAAAUAGACGGAAAAUGACAAUUUUUCAGUGGGGGUGGGUUCAAACCCAAGAGAAAAUCUUCCACCUCCCACGCCACCCACCACCCAUGCCAUCCGCCCCCAAAUCUCAAUACAGAGUUUAAUAGAUGAGCAUCAGUUACAGCAUCA
rnacentral:lncRNA from 1 species